UAGGGAAUCUUCGGCAAUGGACGAAAGUCUGACCGAGCAACGCCGCGUGAGUGAAGAAGGUUUUCGGAUCGUAAAACUCUGUUGUUAGAGAAGAACAAGGACGUUAGUAACUGAACGUCCCCUGACGGUAUCUAACCAGAAAGCCACGGCUAACUACGUGCCAGCAGCCGCGGUAAUACGUAGGUGGCAAGCGUUGUCCGGAGUUAUUGGGCGUAAAGCGAGCGCAGGCGGUUUCUUAAGUCUGAUGUGAAAGCCCCCGGCUCAACCGGGGAGGGUCAGUGGAAACUGGGUGAAUUGAGUGCAGAAGGGGAGAGUGGAAUUCCAUGUGUAGCGGUGAAAUGCAGAGAUAUAUGGAGGAACACCAGUGGCGAAGGCGGCUCUCUGGUCUGUAACUGACGCUGAGGCUCGAAAGCGUGGGGAGCAAACAGG
rnacentral:rRNA from 1 species